ACUCCUCACACAACCCCAGACCGCCCAUUAUUACACGGAGAAAUAACUAAGUCAGCUGACGUGGCAAAAGAACUUUGCAAAGAAAAAAAAAAAAAGUGUUCUUUCUCCGAUACAGAAACGAGACAAAAACAAAAGAGAGAAAAAUUCGCCGGAGAAAACGAGACUCAGCGAUCUCUCCAAUCUGGCAUUCUGUCUCCCCGGACAUACUCUUCCAUUCUUCCCUUCUCUUGCCACGUAUACACCCCAACUGUCUCUGUCUCUCUCUCUCUCCGGCUUCCGUACAUUCACUGCGCUUCACUUGUCCGGCGACUCAACGUACACUUCUGGUUCUCUGCUUUUUCUUUUUCUUUUUUCUCAUUAUUAUUCGUGUUUUAUUGGAAUGGUUUUUGCUUUCGUAGAUGUGGUGUUAA
rnacentral:lncRNA from 1 species